rnacentral:lncRNA from 1 species
AUAGACAUAGGCAUAGAGAUAUUUGAAAGAAAAAUAAAGAAACUUGUUGACAUUUAGGGGGAGUUAAUAAUUUUUAAAUAAAUUUUGAAAGUUAAUUCUUUAAUUCAAUUCAUUAAUUAAGGGAAAUUAAUUGAAAUAUUGGAGGAAAUUAAAUUUGAGAUAUUGGAGAAAACCAAAUCAACUGAUGAAAGCAUAACUUAGAAGGUUCAAAGAGACACCUAACACAAAUGUUUCUUGCAAAAUAUUUGUGGCUAAAUUGUCUAUCUCUCUAGAACUAUUCUGAGUCAUAGAAACUUCUUCCCAUGAUCUUUAUUGCCUAUUUUUUCAUUGGAGAUAGACCUCUAGGUGUUAUUGUUGAUCUAUUGUGUCUUAUCAAACUUCUAUUAUGUUUGGUUGAUUUGCAUGCAUAUAUAUUCCUCUUGACCUUGGUUAUCUACAUUGGUGUUGCUACAGGGAUCUAUUCUUUU